UCGGGAAUAUUGUGCAAUGGAGGAAACUCUGACGCAGUGACGCCGCGUGCAGGAAGAAGGUUUUCGGAUUGUAAACUGCUUUAGACAGGGAAGAAGAAAGACAGUACCUGUAGAAUAAGCUCCGGCUAACUACGUGCC
rnacentral:rRNA from 1 species